rnacentral:rRNA from 1 species
UACGUAGGGGGCAAGCGUUGUCCGGAAUCAUUGGGCGUAAAGCGCGUGUAGGCGGUUCGGUAAGUCUGCUGUGAAAGUCCAGGGCUCAACCCUGGGAUGCCGGUGGAUACUGCUGGGCUAGAGUACGGAAGAGGCGAGUGGAAUUCCCGGUGUAGCGGUGGAAUGCGCAGAUAUCGGGAGGAACACCUAUUGCGAAGGCAGCUCGCUGGGACGUUACUGACGCUGAGACGCGAAAGCGUGGGGAGCAAACAGG